rnacentral:rRNA from 1 species
AUGCUCAAAGGUGCAUGUGGAUUACCCGUGACGGCAAUAGUUCAAUACACAUUUGACAAGAUGAAUGCGUACUUUCUAAAGUACUCGAUGGAAGCUGAUGCACAGAUAGCGGGUGAGAACCCGCGCAAGUACAAGUAUAAGUUCCCACCCAAGGUUGUUGAAUGGUUAGAAUUUCAAUCACGAAAGGCAGACACAGAAGAAGCUAUAUUAUAUGACAACGAAGAGUGUAAGUACGAAGUGAAAGAGCCAGGAGGAACCACAAACGAUGGCUGGCAACAUGGAGGUGGGGCUUUCAAGGUGUCGUUAACACAAUGUGAUUGCUCUUGCGGGAGGCCAUUGUUGCUUCAUCUCCCAUGCUCACACUUGUAUACCGUCGGGCGCGUUAGAAAUGUGGACAUCUAUCACCCACGCAUCGUGAGGGAGUUGGAGUUCUCAAUCAUGACGGUCAAGAAAACAUGGGCUCCCCGCUUUCACCCAUACUUUGACCAAUCACAAUGGCCGGAGUACCAUGGAGUUCAAUUAUGGUCAGAUUCGAAGUUGAAGGUUGUUAAACGGGGUAGACGUAAAACAAAGCGUCUUAGAAGCGACAUGGACGGAUGGGGCCAUGGUGGCCGCCGCGAAGCGGUAAACGACCAAUUCCAAGAGCCUCGUGAGAGCUCCCGUUGUGGGGAAUGCAAAGGUCAUGGACACAACAAAAGAAAAUGUACGAAACCAAGGAAAAGGUCCAAGAAAAAUGAUGCAAGCGCUAGCCAACAAGGAGCUACACAAGGGAGCCAACCAAGUGGUAGCCGACAAGUGCCAAGCCAACCAGGAGGUAGCCAACAAGUGCGAAGGCAACAACGUGGUAGCCAACAAGUGCCAAGGCAACCAAGUGGGAGCCAGCCUAGUGGUAGUCAAUAA